AAUAAGAAGUAUAGAAGGGUUACUUAGACUUACAAGAAGGCCGAGCCCACCGGCACUUAACACCAUCAAUAGCAGCACAAAGUUAUGACCUAAAAAACAAUAGGGAAUAAAACCCUGAGUACGGAAUUACUCAGCAAGACUUACCCGACUAAAGAAAAGACUCUCAAGGGUAUGCUGGCUAGAGGGAUUCAAGGUUUGGCUUAUCAAGAAUCAAAGUCUUUGUUUUGCAGAAAAGCUUACUAUGAGUGGAUCCUUAAAAUCCAUUUUUACUUGUCAGGUUAAGUAAAGUUACCUGCAUCUAAAGUUCUUUCUAUCCUAGUUCAAGCACAUGGCCUACACUAGCCAUCUUUUCAUCAUCCCUUUAGUUCACUGGAUUUCUACGUGUAGGGCAGUGACCAAGUCUUCAUAUCCGAGAAGUAACGGCGAUCCGAAUCGAUUAAUACCCAGAUGGGGAUCUCCAAUCACACGACAUAUGUAGCACUUAACCCUUGCAUAUGUCAACUCACCACUGGGGUUCUUAAGACCAGAUCAGGUUCACGGCAACCGAGAGCACAGAUACACCACCAUCUAGCCUCUUGCCACGGAGGGCACACGCUACUCUCGCCAUCUCUCCACUCACAUUGCAUGUUAUCUUAUUCUGGUAUUAGUCUGCCCGAGGCAAAGCUUACCCAUGAUGAGGCAUGUGACUAGUUAAAAGGUCCACGAUCAGCAAGCCUACAUCGACAAAGUCCUUAAUCGACUCAGACGGAGACACUACACCGAGACUCCCUUCUCGUGCAAGUCAACCGCCCGGUCUCAGCUUUAUUAUUUUCAACCCAAAGUUUGGUACCUGGCAGAGGUACAUCUUAUCCGAUGUUGAACCCAUCACGGCCGUGAUGGAUCCACCAUCAAGUUUUAUUUUCGAAAACAUUCCCACCCACUGAAGCAUCACUUUUGUUUUAAAACAAAACAUUUUUGUUUGCUAAAGCAAGGCUAAGCAUCAUAAAAAUCCUUUUUAUAAAAGGGUGUCAAGGAAGGGUAAUCAAUUUUUCAAGGAAGGAAAUGCAUCAAUGGUUUAGCACACAACUCCUAUCACCUAAUGCAUCAAACAAGGUGAUAAAUAUUUUAAAACAUCAAGGAGGUGGCAAAUGCACCGGGGCUUGCCUGGGUAACACUAGGUUAGUGUUGUUAGACGACGACCAAUUGAUGAUCAUCCUUGUCCUAGCACUUGAUCAGGCAGGUUCGUCCAUCAGCAUCACCAUGCGGAGUAGCCCGCGCUUGGGGUCGACUUGGCUUGCCUUCCACAUCACGCGAUUAUUUAUCGUACCUCAUGAGAUACACGAUGCACAUGUAUGAGCACGAGUAUAAAGAGUAUAAGAUAGAUAUCUACACCGAAGAGAAUGAAACACUCAUAACAAAACAUUAAGCAAAUACUAGCUAGCGAUGUACAACUAAUUAUAAUAAUUACGCCUUUCUAGCCUAUUCGGAGGUAGCGCAUACAUCGCAAUACAAUAAAAUAUACACACGCUCUACUUUCUUUUAUGAUUUAUUGACAGAUUCAUAUUACUACAUAUAUUUUUACCUAGUCAACAUAUUUUAUACAAUAUACCAUUACACCAAUCACUAGGUAAGAAAAUCAUCGAUCAUAUCCUACUUCAACAUUAUCAAUCACAAACAGAGAUGACACUAACUACUAGCACACGACAUCGACUUUACUUACGUGUAUUGAACACCAUUAGCAUCGACAGAGUUAUCGAAAAUAGCAUAAAAUUCUAAAUUUAACCUACGCGUCACUAAAAUAUUAUGCUCUGCAAAAUAGAACUAUUUCAAAUAUACUCUGCAACUAAACUCCUCGAAGCAUCUCUCGCAUCACUGGUAUUUCUAACUUAAUUUUAUACGCCAUUAUAAUAUAAAAAUAAAACAAAGGAAGGGAGAUCCUUCCAAAGACGCUUCGGAGUAUCAACAACAGGUACGAUUACC
rnacentral:lncRNA from 1 species